rnacentral:rRNA from 1 species
UGGGGAAUAUUGCACAAUGGGCGAAAGCCUGAUGCAGCAACGCCGCGUGAAGGAAGAAGGGUUUCGGCUCGUAAACUUCUAUCAACAGGGACGAAAGAAAUGACGGUACCUGAAUAAGAAGCCCCGGCUAACUACGUGCCAGCAGCCGCGGUAAUACGUAGGGGGCAAGCGUUAUCCGGAAUUACUGGGUGUAAAGGGUGAGUAGGCGGCAUGGUAAGCCAGAUGUGAAAGCCUUGGGCUUAACCCGAGGAUUGCAUUUGGAACUAUCAAGCUAGAGUACAGGAGAGGAAAGCGGAAUUCCUA